CAGAUAUCGUUUAGGAACAGAAUGGCAGCAGACCUGUAACCUCCAUAGACUCCAUCAGAUCUCUCUGAGCGAAGAUCUGAUUCUUGGAGUGGGAAAUCCCUGCUGGCAAUAUCUACGACCUUCAGCCCCAGCGCUUUCUGUA